rnacentral:rRNA from 1 species
UUUGAUCCUGGCUCAGAACGAACGCUGGCGGCAGGCUUAACACAUGCAAGUCGAGCGCCCCGCAAGGGGAGCGGCAGACGGGUGAGUAACGCGUGGGAACGUACCCUUUUCUACGGAAUAACCCAGGGAAACUUGGACUAAUACCGUAUGUGCCCUUCGGGGGAAAGAUUUAUCGGAAAAGGAUCGGCCCGCGUUGGAUUAGCUAGUUGGUGGGGUAAAGGCCUACCAAGGCGACGAUCCAUAGCUGGUCUGAGAGGAUGAUCAGCCACAUUGGGACUGAGACACGGCCCAAACUCCUACGGGAGGCAGCAGUGGGGAAUAUUGGACAAUGGGCGCAAGCCUGAUCCAGCCAUGCCGCGUGAGUGAUGAAGGCCCUAGGGUUGUAAAGCUCUUUCACCGGUGAAGAUAAUGAC